CAGAGUUUCCGUAGGUGAACCUGCGAGAGGAUCAUUG
rnacentral:rRNA from 1 species